UACAGAGGUCUCGAGCGUUAGGCGGAAUCACUGGGCUUAAAGCGUGUGUAGGCGGAUCGUUAAGUGCCUUGUGAAAUCCCACGGCUCAACCGUGGAACUGCUUGGCAUACUGGCGGUCUUGAGCAACCUAGGGGCGAGCGGAACAAAUGGUGGAGCGGUGAAAUGCGUAGAUAUCAUUUGGAACGCCAAUGGUGAAAACAGGUUGCUGGGAGUGUGCUGACGCUGAGACACGAAAGCCAGGGGAGCAAACGGG
rnacentral:rRNA from 1 species